rnacentral:rRNA from 1 species
UAAUAUAUACGGAACGUCGCCCAGUCGGUGGGGGAUAACGUAGACGAAAGCUACGCUAAUACCGCAUACGAUCUAUGGAUGAAAGGCGGGGGAUCGCAAGACCUCGCGCGAUUGGAGCGGCCGAUAUCAGAUUAGGUAGUUGGUGAGGUAAAGGCUCACCAAGCCGACGAUCUGUAGCUGGUCUGAGAGGACGACCAGCCACACUGGGACUGAGACACGGCCCAGACUCCUACGGGAGGCAGCAGUGGGGAAUAUUGGACAAUGGGCGAAAGCCUGAUCCAGCAAUGCCGCGUGAGUGAUGAAGGCCUUAGGGUUGUAAAGCUCUUUUACCCGGGAUGAUAAUGACAGUACCGGGAGAAUAAGCUCCGGCUAACUCCGUG